AUGUACUGUCUUUGAACCGGUGUUACCUUAUCCAUGGUUUCAUAGGCCAAGCUACAGUACAAUAGCACACACACUUGUUAUAACUGGGGCUCCCUGGAAUUCUCACCAAGCUGCUCUUUUAAAAGCAAGUUACAUAC